rnacentral:lncRNA from 1 species
UCACGUGCUCAAGGCCCGGGUUCUGACCCGGGUUCACUUGCCUGGUGUCUGCCUUUCCUUAACUUGAUGGGUGACUAGUGAUAAUGAUUAUGUCCUUCCUUCCCAACAGAGGGCCAACCCAUGCUCUAGCUCCUCUGUCCCCGCAGCAGCCUUGCCCAGUUGGGAGGUCCCAGGCCCGGUCCUGGGGACGGCAGACAGCGCUUAGAGUCUUCAUGUGGGAGGCGAGGCUGGACCCCCACAGAACCUGCUGCCCACGUCUGUGCUGUGGAGGUAACUCCAGACCCCAUGCUAAAGACAGCAGUGACCCUGAGCCCCCCAGCCUAAGUGUUUGGGGCUGGUUUGUUUCCAUGUGCUCUGUCAGGAGAGAGGUUGAGAAACACCAGAUUCUGUCCUUUCGUCUUGUGGCAGGAUGGUGCUGCAUUGGCCCCACUGCACAGAUAAGAAAACUGAGGCUCCAAGCAAGAGGUGAGUGACUUGCCCAAGGUCACACUGUGCCCGGGUGGGCCUUUACCCCUGAUUCUGCCUUCUGGGGGUGGAUGGAGCUGGGGACGUGCAGUUGACAUCAGUGUGCAGCCUGCUCAGGAGUCCAGAUGUCCUCUUGGUACCACUCCAUGUGGCCUCACUGCAGGUAGACACACUUCAGGGCCCCCAGGGCUCUGGGUGUGGGGGAGGGGGAAUCUCCUGAACGCGCUGAUGGGCAGUUGAGGACAGGUCCAGGGAGGGCCCGGGCUUCUG